rnacentral:lncRNA from 1 species
CCUCCAUCUGCACCCUCCGCCAUUACUCAUUCGGCAUUCUGCCCCCUCCUUCCGCUCGUUAAGCCUGAUUUGCAUACAUUUGCAUAAUACAACUUAUUUGCAUUCCAGGAGGCUCAUGGUAGGAGCCAGGAAAAAAGGGGAGGGGGGUUGUAGAAGAGAGAAAAGGGGAGAAAUUUUGUUUUCAUCAAAGUGUGUGCGCGCGCGCGCACGCGUGUGUGUGUGUGUGUGUGUGUGUGUGUGUGUGUGUGUUGGGGGGGAGGUGGCAGGAAGAGGAUGGAAAUAAAAACUCACACUACUUUCUUUCUUCCCUUCUGCCCUCUCUCCCUCUGCUGGACUAAAGUGCCAAAGAGAGAUGCCAAGGGGCCGGCUUUUCUGUCCUUUUUUGUUUUGCUUCCUCUGGCCUUGGCUCCCCAGCCCGGCCCCCCACCUUGCUGGGCUCAGGCUUCAGAAAGAAAGAGGCAAGGGUAAGAGGCAAGGCUGUGGGAACGAAAGCAGAGGGAGACAGGGAGGCCGCCAUCUUAGGUAGCUGGCGCCUAUAAAAUGGCCGCCUCUCCAGAGCUGAGAGCUGGCCUGGUUGGUGGACGUGGAGGGAGGUGAGAUGUCAGGGCUUUAUGGCUGACCAGGAACAUUGUUGAGUCUUCCUACUAGUGAAACUGGGAAGAGAGGAUGGAGAGAGAAGGAAGGAGGGAGAGAUGAGGAAGGGGCAGCCCCCGAAGAGAUGUGAGCCUCACACAGGAGCAGCCGCGGUAGAGAGGCCUCCACGCUGGCCUUGGUUCCAGACCCCUCCAUGGAGAGAGAAGGAAGGAGGGAGAGAUGAGGAAGGGGCAGCCCCCGAAGAGAUGUGAGCCUCACACAGGAGCAGCCGCGGUAGAGAGGCCUCCACGCUGGCCUUGGUUCCAGACCCCUCCUGAGCGCCAAUGGUCAGAGGACUUGAAGGACUGGGGGUGACGCAAAAAAUACCGGAGGAAUCAGAACUGGGGGUGUCAGCAGGAGGAGGGAGAGGGUAAGGUGUGGGCAGGCAGGAUCAUCUGCCAGUUUAGGGUGGGGGUCUCUCUGGGGCCUGUGAAGGGCCACCAUGUACUUGAGGCGAAGCUCCAAGUCAUCUCUCCUCAGCCCUGCAGUCCGGCUUCCAUCUUCGUAACUCUGGUGACACUGUGCCCUCUCAGGCCGCUCAACCUCCUCGCUCGGACCCAACGGCCCUUGCUCAGGUCUGGUGACUUUUGUGGAACAUUUCAUGCUGAUGUCCAUCGUGUCUUCACCUUUGGCCUUUGGUUCUUCUGUGAUAUCCCUGAUUAUUCAUUCUGGGUUCUCUUCUCUCAGUCCGCUGGGUUGACCAGUCCUCCAGCCAAAAGUAUGUUCCCCAAGGUUCUACUGUCACCUUUGUUUUUUUCCUUCCUACUCACUUUCAUUCACUUUUAUCACCUCAGCCAUCAGCCAAAGUUAUAAACGCUCGUUCAUUUCUCUAGUCUUGGCUUCUUAUAAACUCCAGAUUGUACCCUAACUGCUACCUGUGGUCCUGCCAUUAGCUCCCAGGUCAGAGACUGGACUGGUGCAUCUGAUUGGCUAAGCCUAGACCCAACGCCCAGGCCCCAGCUGCAAGGAGGGCCAGGAAGGUGCUAUGCUGAAGAGGAAGGUGGAAUACAAAGCUUCUUUGAGGAGCUAACCGUCCAGCAGGGGAGGCAGACACACAAUUACAUGGCAUGUGGAGACUGCUGUCCUGAAGACGUGUGCAAAGUGCUGUGGGAGCAGGUGGGGAGGGAACUGUGGGCCACCUUGGGGGAGUUAAGGAAGGGUUCCUGGAGGGGGCCAAAAUGUUGGUGAUGAAAGAUAAAGGGAAUAAAAGUGAUAAAAGGUAAGCAAGGAGUUGUCAGUCUAAGGAGUUUGAGGAAGUGGGUGGUGGAGAGUGGACAGUGUACGUGAAAGCAAGGACGUAGGGAAGAGCAUGGUGCCUUAGGGGACUGGAACAUCCAUCAGAGGGAGUCUGGGCUGGGGGAGAUGGGAAGUGGAAGCAGAAAUUCCAUUAUUAAGAGCUUUAUCUGCUCCAUGAGGGAGGCUGCAUUUGAUGGGGAUUCUGAGAAGUUAGCUGACAGCCUCAGGGAUGCUGGGUGCAGGGUAUGGCUGCGACAAGGACACCCGCAUCUAGCUGCCCACUGAGCCCAGCACCCAACCAGACACUUAACUGGCUCUUGGCUAGUUCUGAAGAAAGGAAGGAACGUAUGAAAGGCCUGGAAGCCACCUGAGGAAGAGUCUCUGCCUCUCCCCCUCCAGAACCGCCCACGCCCCACAGAUCCUAACUUCCUUCCACGGUUGUCCUGAGGACCAAAUGGGUCAGUGUCAAUGAGAGUGCUUCGUAAGGCUGUGUGCAGAUGUCGUGUUAAUUCUAAAUGCUGAGGGACACAGAGGGGCCAUUGCAGGUAGGUGGGAACAAUCAGAGAAGGCUUCCAGGGUUUGGAAACGAGAGCAGGGAUUGCUGGAGAGGAGAGUGAAGGGAGUCUGGGUGCAAUCUAUGGUGGAGCC